GCUUGAAGUCAGUCACGUUGACUUGGAAUCAGCUCUGCUUUUGCUGGGUGUACUUUCUUGUCAAUGGGUCAGCAUCAAUUUUGACCAUUGGAUAAAGUCAUUGGGAAUGUAGCAUCUUUAGAUGUGUUAUAGCCUGGUGAUGCAUACGGUGGUUGGGAUUGAGGAAUUCAGCACGCCACCAGGCCGGGUUUCGACCACGUUCGUGCUUAGGAUGCUGGCAUAAUGGCUUUAAUUGACCCGUCUUGAAACACGGACCAAGGAGUCUAACAUAUCUGCGAGUGUUUGGGUGAAAACCCAUGUGCGUAAUGAAAGUGAAAGUUGAGAUCCCUUCUCAAGGGAGCAUCGACGCCCGGACCAGACCUUUUGUGACGGAUCCGCGGUAGAGCAUGUAUGUUGGGACCCGAAAGAUGGUGAACUAUGCCUGAAUAGGGUGAAGCCAGAGGAAACCCUGGUGGAGGCUCGUAGCGAUUCUGACGUGCAAAUCGAUCGUCAAAUUUGGGUAUAGGGGCGAAAGACUAAUCGAACCAUCUAGUAGCUGGUUCCUGCCGAAGUUUCCCUCAGGAUAGCAGAAACUCAUAUCAGAUUUAUGUGGUAAAGCGAAUGAUUAGAGGCCUUGGGGUUGAAACAACCUUAACCUAUUCUCAAACUUUAAAUAUGUAAGAACGAGCCGUCUCUUGACUGGACUGCUCGAUGAUUGAGAGUUUCUAGUGGGCCAUUUUUGGUAAGCAGAACUGGCGAUGCGGGAUGAACCGAACGCGAGGUUAAGGUGCCGGAAUUCACGCUCAUCAGACACCACAAAAGGUGUUAGUUCAUCG
rnacentral:rRNA from 1 species